UUAUUUUUGCUGUUUUACAGGCAAGCCUAAAGUUCUUGUAAUUUAAUCAUUUUUCCAGAAGUAUGUUAUCUUGUGCCCUGGAAUCUAAUAUUCUUAAAGCACUAAGAUGGAAUGGGAUGAAUUGUAGUAGUUAAUCGUUCAUUGGAUUGGAAGGGGGGUAGUGCUGGGUUUCCUGAGGACAGGGAAUUCUACAUUUUCUCUAAAAUCGUGGAUUUCUUGCACACAGCAUCUUCCUUGACUUCUGGGUCAUUUGAGAAUUACCAGCCACCUGAAUUAAGUGGGAGGAAGAGAGAGAGGAGCUGGUUGGUUGUUUUUGGCAAACCUUCAAGAGGAGGCUUCCGAACUCAAUUUUUGUGUGUGCCUUGUGAAAGCAAGAACCACUGA
rnacentral:lncRNA from 1 species